rnacentral:rRNA from 1 species
GAUGAACGCUGGCGGCGUGCCUAAUACAUGCAAGUCGAGCGAAUGGAUUAAGAGCUUGCUCUUAUGAAGUUAGCGGCGGACGGGUGAGUAACACGUGGGUAACCUGCCCAUAAGACUGGGAUAACUCCGGGAAACCGGGGCUAAUACCGGAUAACAUUUUGAACCGCAUGGUUCGAAAUUGAAAGGCGGCUUCGGCUGUCACUUAUGGAUGGACCCGCGUCGCAUUAGCUAGUUGGUGAGGUAACGGCUCACCAAGGCAACGAUGCGUAGCCGACCUGAGAGGGUGAUAGGCCAACCGGGGACUGAGACACGUCCCCGACUCCUACAGGAGGCAGCAGUAGGGAAUCUUCCGCAAUGGACGAAAGUCUGACGGAGCAACGCCGCGUGAGUGAUGAAGGCUUUCGGGUCGUAAAACUCUGUUGUUAGGGAAGAACAAGUGCUAGUUGAAUAAGCUGGCACCUUGACGGUACCUAACCAGAAAGCCACGGCUAACUACGUGCCAGCAGCCGCAGUAA